rnacentral:lncRNA from 1 species
AACGCCUCCUCAGACCACUGUCUGUUGCUGAGCGAGCAGCACAGGAAACCAGCGAGCAUGGCCCUGGCACCCACCUUCUCCCCUAAGACCUGGUUCCGCUGUCUGCUUUGGUGACUUCCCACCUUUGAGCCUUCGGUGUGUGCACGUGGGUGCACACGGGCGCACACAGCCUGGAAGAAA